rnacentral:rRNA from 1 species
AAGUCGGUUGUGAAAGCCUUCCGCUCAACGGAAGAACGGCAUCCGAUACUGCAUGGCUUGAGUGUGGGAGGGGAGAGUGGAACUUCUGGCGGAGCGGUGAAAUGCGUAGAUAUCAGAAGGAACACCGGCGGCGAAGGCGACUCUCUGGUCCAUAACUGACGCUGAGUGUGCGAAAGCUAGGGGAGCAAACGGGAUUAGAUACCCCGGUAGUCCUAGCCGUAAACGAU